GACGUAGGGCGCAAGCGUUGUCCGGAAUUAUUGGGCGUAAAGAGCGUGUAGGCGGUCCGGUAAGUCAGCUGUGAAAGUCAAGGGCUCAACCCUUGAAUGCCGGUUGAUACUGUCGGGCUAGAGUCCGGAAGAGGCGAGUGGAAUUCCCGGUGUAGCGGUGAAAUGCGCAGAUAUCGGGAAGAACACCUAUGGCGAAGGCAGCUCUCUGGGACGGUACUGACGCUGAGGCACGAAAGCUAGGGUAGCGAACGGG
rnacentral:rRNA from 1 species